rnacentral:lncRNA from 1 species
CAAGAAACAAGUCUCUGUUCUUUUAAAUUACUCGGUCUCAUAUUCUUAGCAGAAAAUGAACUAAGGCAGUGUAUAUUUUGCAAACCUGGGUUCGUAAGCUGGGGUUUGUAUCACUACUGUAAUGGUCAUUGACACAUAAGGAAACUGAGGUCUAGAGAAGCUGAAUAACUGGGUUAGUGCCAUGUAACUACUAAGUUACUAAUGUGAGAUUUGAAGACAGAGCUUCCUGAUUCCAUGUGAUUCCAGAGCCCUAUGUUUGUGGUUGAAAGUCUUCACAUACCAAAGGGACCAGCCAGAUAAAGUUCAGGAAUGAAGUAUGUCGGGUCUUCGGAUCUUGGUCUCCAACCAUCACCGUAGUUUGUUUGCGCCUUUGCGGCUCACUCUUAGCCCCAGUGAGCGGGGUGGGGAGAAGAGGUUGCACAUGGGAACCAUGGGAUGGGAGGACAGCACAGAAGAGAGCUCAGGCUCCGUCGUAAGGGGGCAGUUGCUGCAAAGGUCACAAGAAAAUGCUUCCACCUUAAAAACAAAAAUCCAAAGUCCAAACUUUUCUGUAAAAUCUGACUUGGACACAUUUGAUUCUUUUACUAGGAAUUCAAAGGAGUGUCUAGCAAAAUGUGUCUCCACGCCCUUGGCUUGUGUCACUGCUCUAUCUCAGAGCCCCAUACCCCACCCCAGAAAAAAGGCCUAGAGCCUGAGCCUCGGGCAUCUAAAGAAGCCAGGGUUUGAGAUGCAGGGGUCUCUGCAGGAGGAACCAGAGCUUCCCUGAGGGCAGGACUGACUCAGCCUAUGGAGGAAGGAGCAGAAGAGGAUUUGGGAGGAAAGUUAAGCCCGCAUCAGUUUUCCCUCCUUCUCCCUUGGGCAGAAGGGGGCAAGGGUUCUCCUCCAUCGCAUGGGUGUUCUGGGAAGAGGUGGGUGGUGGGGAAAACUUGGAGUUCUUGCUGGUGAGGAGGAAGAGGGCUCUCCCAGCUGAGCUUCUGAAGGCCGCAAGGUGCUGGGGUCUGUGGUCUGGCCUGAACCCAUCUCCCCAACACGGGGUGCAAGGGCCUCAUCCCGCACCCCCAACAACACCACCCUGCAGAAGCUGCCUGGUUCUGCUCUUCCCCACACCCGACCUAGCCCAGGAGAAGGUUCAGCCCACCCACACACCCCCCUUCAGGGCGGCCAUGCUUAGCAACCCAGCCAGUGCCCUGUCUCUGCCCUGGCAAGAUGCUCUCUGGAAACCUCAGAAUGACUGGGCCCGCAGCCCCGCUUCCUCUCCUGACCGCAUCCUGCAGCACACAGCCCGGGCAGGUGCAGGAGGGCACUGCCCAGCGGCCCCUGCAACUGUGACCAGAACCCUCUUGGUGACACAGGCUGGGCAGAGGCGGGUGAGUGAAACACAGACAACCAACUUAGGGGGCCAAGCCUGGGGGGCUCACCCCAGUGCCACAGGGGAAUAGAACCCCCAAAACUGGGGCACACAGUGGGGCUCAGGCCCCGGAGUUACACGAGAAAGGAAGCCCCUCCCCCAGGUCACAAUAGCACCCUCUGGCUUCUAGAUGUUUACAAGUUCCUUUCUCCCUUCACUCUCCCCAGUAACUUCUUUCAUUUUUCCUUUCCCUUCCCUGUUUCUUUCUCUGUCUUCUUCAUCUCCUGGCUCCUUGGGUGCCUACAGGAUUUCAGGGGCCACAGGCCAGUGUCCUCAGGGGUGGGGUAGAUCACUGGCCCCUACUGACACAAGCAUGUGGCUCAUUCUUUGUGGAACCACCAAAGAGUGACAGCAGUGGGCUCCCUAGUCUAGCUCAGUGGCUUUCUGGGUGCCUUGGAGGAAGAGUCCUGAGGGUGGACGUGAUUGUGUGCACUUGUGUGGGGUGGGGAGCGGUGUGGCAGAGUGGCCUGGAGGCUCUCAUCUAGCCUGGGACCUUUCCUUGCUUCCUGUGGCCCUGCUGGUGGAGACUUGAAUCUCCCCUCCUGGGAGGGCAAAAUCUGACCCCUCUCACUGUGAGCCUAAAGCCCCUGCCUACUUCUGUCCCCUCUGGGGGUACCCACCACAAGCCCUCAUGCAUUCUAUGGGUGUUCUCUUGUUUCCAGAGACCCAAAGAGAGUUGGAACUUUAGGGAAGGAGUGAAUUGUGUUAAAAACAAUGGAAAUACAAAGAUAAAAGCUAAAUUCAGAAGCGGGGAGGCAGAGAUUGUCCAGUGGCUGCAGCCAGCCAGCACACCCCCUGGGAAAGCCCACACCUGCUUGGAGUCAGAUGUCUCAGGGUGGAGCCACUGUCUUCUCCCUGGCAGUGGUGUGUGUGGUAGAGAUGUCCCAGGCUCCUGGGAACAGGCUGAAGCUCAGGCCCAGUGGGGGCUGCAGGCCGAAGACAGGUUCCUGGCAACAGAAAGGGGAGGGAAGGAUCUGCCACCAGACAAAGUACAGCACAUUUAAUUAAAUGGUCUAGUUGGCUUCUAUUUGUGAUUCGUGAGUAGGGCAGGAUCCUCUAAAGACUUAGUAAAGGUGCUUAGAUGAGCUGAACAGAAGGGUGGGCUCUGUAGCAGAGGAGGAAGGCAGAAAGAGCCAGAAAGCAAUCAGGAAGCAUCAGGUUACUUGGGUUACUUUCCUGGUAAAGGUUAACUUCCUAAUCGCGCUGGCUGAUACUGGCCUGCUCAGGGAUUCAGCAACCUACCAUCUCCCUCUAUCUCCUGAUUUCUCAAGUCAGGUGAACAAUUUAGCUUUGGUUUGAUGGCACUGAACUUUAGUAUGAGUGGCUCCAUUUACGUUGGUUUGUUGGGCCAAGGACAGAAGCUCAGUCCACAUUCAUUGCCUUCUAUAGUUUUUAUUUAACAUUGUGAAUAACGCUUUCCAAAGGCCUGGCUCACUUGGGGCUUUUCAUCACUUUAUACUUUGUGACGAUAAAUAGCUCAGGUAUGUAAUAUAAGAGAAAAUAUGCAUUUUGAGGCUAGAAAUGUAGCACAGUGGCAGAGCACUUGCCUAGCAUAUGUAUGAGGUCCUGGGUUUGAUCCCCAGCACUGCAAGAUGUGUGUGUGUGUGUUGUGUGUUUUGGAGUCAGAGAGUCUUGGUUUCUUUAUCUGUAAAAUGGGUAUGCUAGGAGCCUCAUAGGACUGCAGCAAGGAUAAUGAAAUCACAGAGAUAGAAUGCUUUUUAGCAUCACUCUUUGCACAUAGUAAGCACCCAAGUGGUUUUUAAAAAAAGAUAUUUUCCCACAUUUUUAGUCUUAAAAAACCUUUUUCUUCUUGCUCACAUUCUAAUCACCAGAUUAGAUAAUAAUAAUAUAUCUUAUUAUAAUUUUAUUUAUGAAUAUAAUAACGCAAUUUUGUCUCGAUAAUUACAUCUUUCAUGGUCCAAACCUGUUCGUCAGUGACCAAGUUUCACUUCCUGUGGUUUUGUGAGUGGGGGCUUCGAAGGGCAACCUCCUUCCACAUGGGGGGCCUGGGCCAUGGCAUAGCUGAGCUCCUCAGAAACGAACAGUGCUUCACAACUCUGACUUCUUUUUUUUUUUUUUUUUCUUUUGGUACCAGGGAUCAAACUCGGGUCCUUGCAGUUGCACAGCAGGCGGCAAAACCACUGAGCUAAAUCCCCGGCAUCUGACUUCUCUUAAGACACACGGCAUGAUGAGAAGGGAGUGUGUUCUGAAGGAAGGAUGCUUUUAAUUGCAGUCAGAUGCUGUCUAGUUCAACUGCAGUGGCCCAUAAACCUGGCCAUGUGUGACCUCCUCCUCAUCCUCUCCUCGCUCGAGCUUGGACCCAGCCGGCACUAUCCCAUUCCUCUGAGACUGGCUCUCGAAGGGCCUCAUUCUGGAGUCCAGGCUGGCCUUGAACUCAUGAUGCUCCUGUCUCACCACCGAGUGCUGCUGGGAUGUACCCAUGUGCCACCAUGCCUAGGCCCCUGGCAUAUUUUUUAAUCAUGUCAGUCCCUUGAAGAAAUCAGGUCAGUUGUCUCAUGAAAUAUCCUAUAUUCUGUGUCUUAUCUGCUUGUGUUCUCCCUCGUGUCAUCAUUUCUCAUGCCCCUAACCCUUUUAUUUCCUGUCACCUGAAUUUGGCACAAAAUGUUUGCCUAGAUUCAAAUUUAUCAUUUUGGGCAAGAAUACUCCGUGGAUGGUGCCAGACGCUUCAUCCUUCCCCUCAUGGAGUCAAGUAACAACCGGUUGUUUCUCUGAAUAGCGACGCUAGUUGAGCUGUUGGUUCCCCUCACCAUCCCACUGUGCCUGCCGGGCGUUACUGGGAAACCCUCUGGGUGCCCUCCUGGGAUUUGCACUACCCAAGCUCCCGGUAGCCUCUCUCCUGGUGGUGAGCAGCCAGCCACUGAUGAUUGUUGCUUGAAUCAAUUACUUUAUUAGAGAUUGUAAAGGUGAUUUUCUAUUUCUUUUAAAAUAUUUUUUACUGUUAAAAAGCAAUAGAAUUCAAGCCAGAUGUGGUGGUGCACAUCUGUAAUCCUAGCAUUCUAGGAGGCUGGGGCAAGCAGAUUGCAAGUUCAAGCACAGCCUGAGCGACUUAGCGAGACCCUGUCUUAAAAAAAGUAAUAACAAAAGGGGCUGGGGAUUUAUCUCAGUACAAAGGCCCUGUGUUCAGUCUCCAGUAAAACACACACACACAAACACACACACAUAUUAAACUUCAUUUAAAAUGGUCACCUUUUUACUGACCUAUCUUCCAAAUUCAGCCCGUGUUAUAAGAAAAUCCCACCAAGACACCCAUAUUGAUUUAUUAUUAUUAUUAUUAUUGUCUUUGUUUUGGUUUUGGUUGUUCUCUGGGAUUGGAUCUAGGGCGUUUAUCCUGAGAUACAACCCCAGCCCUUCUUUAAUUUUUUUUUUUUAAUUUUUGGUACCGGGGAUCGAACUCAGUACAAUUUUUCAUUUUGAAACAGGGUCUCACUAUGUUGCCCAGGCUGCUCUUGAACUCGAGAUCCCCUUGGAGUGCAUGGGUUAGAGGUGUGUGCCACCACACCCAGCUUGAUUAAUUGUGUCAUAAAAGUGACUUCCCUGCUAGUGCAGCGUACCGGGGAGCCCUCAGCAGACCUGCUUAGUCCCUCUCCCUCUCCCAACGCGCUCUGAGAGUGCAGACAGGACGUAUGUAUGGCUCUCUGUGUGGGCUCACAGAGAGACAGGCUCUUAGAUGUCAAAAGCAUUUAGAAGUGUGCCGAUAAAUGUAUUUUACUUGCCCAAGUGAUGUAAGUAAGUUGUUUUCUCCUUGGUCUCCUUUUGAUGAGUUUGUUUAUGAAUUGUCUCUUUUUUUUGGUGGGGAGGGAUUGUUUUGCCUCGGUUGUUUAAUUUAAUUUUUUUUUUUUGGUACUGGGGAUCGAACUCUGGACCUUGCGCUUGCAGGCAGGAGGCUGAACCACUGAGCUAAAUCCCCAGCCCUUGGUUGUUUAAUUUUAAAUUAAUAAGCAUGUGCUUCUAGGCUUUUGGUGGGCAUAUUUCAUAAAAUAUUCUUUAAAAUUUCACAGCAGUGUGUUAGAGAAUUCUCUGGAGGGCAGGCCGGACUCUCACUCCAGAGAGACGGUGUCUCUGUCUGUUCACCGUCUGCCACCUCGUCGACACGCUGGCCAAUCAGUGCCCCCAAUCAGUGAUACACAAGUGACCAGUUCACAGCACAGCACUUUUUAUGCUUUUUAAUUUCAAGAAAAAGACACAGAGAAAGAAAAAACUCAAAGUCUACACAGCACGCAGUUUUAUUUCCCUCUUUUACACCCGUAAAUCCAUAAUUUCCAUCUUCUUUUUGUUGGGAUGGAGACUCAAAUAAUAAGUUGUUUUGUGGCUUUGGGAAUUUACUUCAUUUCUUUACCCCUGUGACUCUGCAUGCUUUCAAGGCCACGAAACAUAGUAACACAAAUUAAAGGUUUGUGGCAUCAAUGAAUUUGAGAAGACAAAUCCAAAACUAUGGUAGGAUUCAAUUCCAUUUAGCAAAUGUUUCUAUCGUUUAUUUUCCUCAUGAUAAUUAUUGUACAUAUAAUGCUUAAGUAGGCCAGAUAAUUUUUUUGUUGUUGUUGGGAUCGAACUCAGGACCUUAUGCUUGUGAGGCAGGUGUGGUGGCACUGAGCCAAAUCCCCGGCAAGGGCCAGAUAAUUUUAAAUACCCCUUAUACCCUAUGACAGAAGUGGCAAACCUAUGACACACAUGUCAUUUGUUUUCUUCUAAGAUAAAAGAUAUUAGCAUAUGAGUUUUUUUCUAAACUAAAACCUCUGUAUUCAGUUUAAUUGCAGUGUUGUCACUUUGUGAAAUAAGUGGGUUUUGGGUUACAGUUUGGGCACUCGCCUCUAGAAGGUUCUCCAUCACUGGCCUGUGAGCCAAAGCAGAUGAGGAUUCUGAGGAACGAGAAACUUAAACUCGGUCACAGGCAGCGAGAGGCAGAGCCGGCUCUCAAACAGUAUCGGCAGCAGAGUUUGUGCCCUUAGCUCCUGCAUGUGGUCACUAACAAGCACUUACUUUCAUUAGGUACCGAGCUACUUUUCAAAGUGCUUUCAGAGUGCAUUUUCACAAGUCCUCAGCAGAUUCAGUCUUUUGAAGGGUCACGUGAUCACACAGGGCAGGAGAUGGGACCCUGAAGGAGGGGGCGGGGAAAGGGGGGUUGUUCAGUUUGAAACACACAUUCAAAGCUGCCUGAGCUGACAGGAAAGAGUCACUGCAGCAUAUUUAUAAAAACAAAAACUCCCAGGCAACUUCAACGUCUAAUAAAGGAAGGAUGGUUUAGUUACACUAUGGUCUAGUCACUGAAUGAAAACUUCGAGAAUGACAGUUAUGACUACAUCGAGGCAUCAAAAGAUGUUUAGAAUGUUUUGCAAAAUAAAGCUGAACACACAGAUGACAGCAAUGUAAAAUGUGAUCGCAGUAGAGAAGGGUCAGAAAGAGGAGGCACAAAAGUGAAAAUUAUUGCAAUUUGGGUGGAGGACCUUGAGUUAUUUUAUUCUUCAUAUUAUGUUUUCUCUCUUUGUGGUUAUAAUUUUAGAAAAGGAGACCCGGAAAGAUUUGGGGCAAGAGUUUAUAUAAAGAACAAGACUUGAUUAAAAAAGAAUUUGUCUGGCCAGACGAGUCGGCUACACUGGUCUAUGACUUUGUGUCCCAGGAUCCCGGAUGGGUGCUGCCUGGGGCUCCCUGCUUGCUUUGCAUCUGCAGGUUGUUUGGGGCAACAGUGAUAUGAACAGAGGGAAAAGGGGACUGUGCCCUUCGCAGACAGUCAUUUUCAGAGCAGAGUGGGCUAGAUGAAUCAGCCCUGUCUAGCACAUCCACCCAGGGCAAACCACAGCCUCUGCCCAGAGCCGGGCAGCCCCAUCUCAAGUCUGCGCUUCAGCUUUGCUGCCUAUUGAAGCCAAGCAGCAUCUUCCCCAGCUCUGCCUCUCGCCAGCUAGGGCUACCAGGUUCCCGGGGAGCAGUGGGGUCAGCACUGCUUCUCCCUAGUCCUGCCCGGCACCCAUGGUGCGCGAACAUACUGUCCACCUCCACCGGGAAAGGGUGCUGGUCUGGGAACAGAAGCAACGUGAUUUCCAUGCAGGGUUAGUGACAGACAGCCGUACCCUGACGCACCCUUAGAUUUAAUAGUGACUAAUGACAAACUGUGAGCCAGGCACCAGCACACCGGUGAGGACUGAGGGGGGGGUUAAGCCUGAAACUAGAAGGCAUGAAUUUUAAACUCCACUCCCACGUGUGUGACCUUGGCAAAUUCUGGACUCUUGGACUUGGUUCCCCUGCCUGCAAAAUGGGAGCAAGAACUUUAGGCAAAUGAUAUAAAUUUUUCAAGACUUUUUUUUUCAAUCUGUAGAACAGGGACAAUAAUAUCAAAAUUUUGUGAAAGUAACAUCUAUAGGGCUGUUGGCUCAGUACCUCUUAUGUAGUAUGAGCUCAAUAAAUAUUAGUCAUUGACUUAACACCUACUUUAGCGGGAUGCUGCAGUGAGACAUGUAUAAGCGGUCUUUAAAAUAAUACACUAAGAUCAUAAAAUAGUUUUCAAGUUGGGCAGAUACCAAAUCUUUAUUUUUUUUUUUGGUACCAGGGAUCAAACUCGGGACCUUGUGCCUGCCCUGCAGGUGGUGGCCCCACCAAAUCUUCUUUAAAAAUGAUAACGCCUAGUGUUUGUGAAGGGUGUGGUGAGCGGGUGCUCUGGAUGAACUUUAAAGCAUGUUGGUAUUUUGGCAGCUGAACAUACUGUUCACACAUUCUACGCAGUUCACCAUCGUAAUAUCACUUCUAGAAAUCUGUCGAGAGAAAAGAAUCAGAAAUGAGCAGUAAGAUUUUUGUACAAGGAUGUUCAUCACUGAAUUGUUUAUAAAUAAAAAAAGCAUAAAGUAUUAGGGGCUUAAAUUUAAAAGAUUACAUUUAUAUCAUAUGCAAUGUAACUUUAAAGACAUGUUUUAGAAUAACACUUAAUAAUGUGAUAAAAUACAUGUCAUUAAGUGAAGAAAACAGGCAACAAAAUAAUGAUUGUAAAUACAGUAGCAGGGCUAUGGGUGGAUGUAGCCCAGUGGUAGAGCCCUUGCCCUGGGUCAGAUCCCUAGUGCACACAUGAAAAGUGCGCCUAUGUACGAAUAUAUAAACAAAUAGCUACUGAAUGUCAACCAUUUGGGAAUAUAAUUGAUUCAGUCUUUGAUCUCAUAGAUGAACCCCAAUUUAUCUGGAGAAAAACAUAUACAUGCGUAUUUUUAUAUAUAGAGAAAAAUAUAGUAUCUUCAUGGUGAAAUAAUAGGUGUUUUUUUUAUAUUUUCCGGUGGUUUCCUUUUUCAAAAAACAAAGAAUCUGGGUGUGGUGGUGAGCACCUGUGGUCCCAGCUACUUGGGAGGCUGAAGCAGGAGGAUGGCUUGAGCCCAGAGUUUGAAGCCACCUCUGCCCUGGAGCGGAACCCCCGUAUUAAAACACCAAAAGAAGGAGAGCGGGCAUGAUUUUAAUAAUCAUGGGGGAGCUCUUGACAUUUUUAAGGGGAGGGAGAGGUCAGGGGACCUGGCACUAUGUGUAGAGGGUGCCCCAGCAGCAAGCUAUCCGAGCCAUGUUGGGCUGAGACUGUCCCCAGGCCUCAGUCUCAUCAGCAAACACAUGAAGCUGAUCAUUCCUGCUUGCCACAGGUCAUGAGAAUCCAGGAAAUCAUGUGCAUGUGCUUUUUAAAAUACACAAUGUGCUACACACUAAUAUUAGGUUCAGCAGGUGGCUUCCCACCUCUGGCCCUCCGCAUCGUCAUUCUUAGAAUGGACAAAAUGAGCUUCCAGUUCUGAAGCCCAGUGACUUAACGUAAGUUCGAAUCUCAGAAGGUUCGAUUACAAACUCAGUGUGUACUCUCUGAUUUUGCAGAUAAUGGAGGGGAAGAAGGAUCUUACAUCUCUGCCUUCUUCUCCUCCAGUUACCGAGCAUUUCCUGGGCUCCUCGCCACUGGUGCCACUGGCGCCAUUUGGGGGUGGGGCUGGGGGAGCUCUAACAUGCAAGAUGUCCUCACAGUGUCCAGGGUCCUCGCUCAGCCCCUGGAUGGACUGGGUGGGUGGACUGAGUCACAUCCCCAUCACCCAGCCGUGCCAGCCUUCUGAACUCCCCAAAUCACUCAUCAGCCUGCAGGGGCCCUGGUUCCCACACUGUGCCCUGAGAACAGACCCAGGGGUCGAGGGAAGUGAGGAGAAAGCUCAGAAUUAGUCACAAGAAGCGAGACAGCCACAGAGCCCGUGUGCCAGCCUGUGCCCAGAGGCUGACCUUUCGGAACCUCCUGAGGCUCUCCCCAACACCUCUCCAAAGCUAUGACAUGGGGAGGGGACGCCUUGGCCCCUGAACACCAGCACAGAGCGCAGCACGGCGCGUGGGCUUCUAAUCUAAAGCACCCGCUGCUGACAAAGUGCUUUCAAGAACAUGAACAUUUCCUUUGAUCUGUGAGGCAGCCUGAGCAGAUACUAUCAGCUCCAUUGUUCAGAUGGAGCCAGGGAGGCUGAAGCUCAGGGGACCGAGGUGGGGGUGGACUUCAUCGUGAGGAGCAGGAGCCAGGACCAGGAUCUGACUUUAGCACCCGGGCUUUGGCAGCUUUGAUUUUUGUCAACUGCCCUUUAAAAAUGCUUGUAGAGGGCCGGAGAUUUAGCUCAGUGGUUUCACCACCUGGUGCGCAAGCACAAGGACCC